rnacentral:rRNA from 1 species
UGCGUAGGGUGCGAGCGUUGUCCGGAAUUAUUGGGCGUAAAGGGCUCGUAGGCGGUUUGUCACGUCGGGAGUGAAAACUCAGGGCUUAACCCUGAGCCUGCUUCCGAUACGGGCAGACUAGAGGUAUGCAGGGGAGAACGGAAUUCCUGGUGUAGCGGUGAAAUGCGCAGAUAUCAGGAGGAACACCGGUGGCGAAGGCGGUUCUCUGGGCAUUACCUGACGCUGAGGAGCGAAAGUGUGGGGAGCGAACAGG